GUGGGUGUAGUUUAAUGGUGAGAAUUCCACGUUGUGGCCUUGGAGACUUGGGCUUGAGUCCCAACAGCCACA
rfam:Triticum aestivum genome assembly, contig: Triticum_aestivum_CS42_TGACv1_scaffold_514913_6BS